CUUUUUAAAAGAAAAAUGGAUUUUAUCCUUUAUAUAUAUAUACUGUUCAGUAUCUAUGCGUUGAAUAAAAUUCAUCUUUCUACUUGGUCUAC